GAUAGCAUAGACAAAGUUAAAACUAGUUUAGAAGAGAGAAAACGAAACAGAGAGAAACAAGAAUAUUGAUAUAAAAAUUGGUUUUCUACUUCUCCUUGGCUCACUACCUUACUUCCCAGCCUUUUGGGACCUUUCGUGGGUAUUUUACUGCUUUUGUCUUUUGGCCCUUGGGCCUUUAAUAGAUUAACCAGUUUUGUUAAGUCACAGAUUGAAGCUGCUUUAAGCAAGCCGGUUGCAGUUCACUACCAUCAACUGGAUAUCCAAGACUCAGACUAAGAAGAUCUUCCUCCCACCGAGGCAGAAAGAGCC
rnacentral:lncRNA from 1 species